ACCGCCCGCUUUCUUCAUGCCUAACACAUGCAAGUCGAACGAAGGCUUCGGCCUUAGUGGCGCACGGGUGCGUAACGCGUGGGAAUCUGCCCUUUGGUUCGGAAUAACAGCUGGAAACGGCUGCUAAUACCGGAUGAUGACGAAAGUCCAAAGAUUUAUCGCCAGAGGAUGAGCCCGCGUUGGAUUAGGUAGUUGGUGGGGUAAAGGCCUACCAAGCCGACGAUCCAUAGCUGGUCUGAGAGGAUGAUCAGCCACACUGGGACUGAGACACGGCCCAGACUCCGACGGGAGGGAGCGGUGGGGAGUAUUGGAGAAGGGGCGCAAGCCCGAUCCAGCAAUGCCGGGGGAGUGAUGAAGGCCCUAGGGUUGUAAAGCUCUUUUACCCGGGAAGAUAAUGACUGUACCGGGAGAAUAAGCCCCGGCUAACUCCGUG
rnacentral:rRNA from 1 species